UGUUAGAUCUCUCGCAAUACUAACGUAGUUUAGUUGGUCAGGUUCGGAAGGAAGCAGCCAGAACAUCGUUGUGUGUGCCGUGAUGUAUAUUAGCA
rnacentral:SRP_RNA from 1 species